CUGCUGAGAAAGAUCACCACCUUUCCCUGAAACAAAAACCCUAAUUAAAUCCAUAUCUCUAGCCACUACGAAGAUAAUUGUGUAGAUCUAUUUUCGCUAUUAGCUACACGGGUAUAGAGAGAGGUUACCGAAUCCAGUACAGUGGACGGUGACGGUUUGACCCGGAGCGGGUUUGGGUCCUGUGCCGGGUACCUGCGUCUGCGGCUGCAGCGAUCUUUUCCGGAAAUCUUGUUUGUUUGACUGAAACUGAUACCUGCGUCGAUCUGCUGCGUCUGAUGCUGCGUCUGACGCUGCGUCUAACGCCGAAUCUUGCGUCUGACGCCGAAAAAUCUCGCGUCCGCGACGUAAAUGAUGCGGCUAGACUGCGUAUCUUCUCUUCUCUUCCAUUCACAGACCACAAGCUCUCUCUUCCAUUCACAGACUACCACCACGAACUCUCUUCUCCGAUAGAUGCAGGACACAGACCUCGAGUUCUCUCUCUUCUCCGAUUGACGAAGACUUCGACCAAACCCAUAUCGAGCUUUCUCUUCUCCUCCACAGACGACGCCUCUCGAGCUCCCUCGUCUCCUCCACAGACGCAUCUGGAGCUCUCUCCAUCUCCAACGCAUCUCAAGCUCGCUCUCCACCUCUCUCAAGCUCUCGACCCUCUCUCCAUCUCGAGCUCUCCAUCUCUCUCAAGCUCUCCAUCUCGGUUCUAAGCUUAUGUUUUGUUCAUGUGUGGGUUUGUGAGUUCCUCUUACAUAAAGCUCAUGUCUUUGUUGGGUUUUGCUAUUCAUAUGUUUGAUGGGUUUCUCUUGUUUGGUGUUUGCAGUAAGCCUCGUCUCUAGCUUCGUCUCUCAUCGUUAAUCUUGUGUCGUUAACCUUUUGUUAGUUCAAAGGCUGUAUUAUAAGUACUGAUGUCUUAUCAAUCUUGUUGGUAUGGUUUCUGUCUGUA